rnacentral:rRNA from 1 species
AGAGUUUGAUCAUGGCUCAGGACGAACGCUGGCGGCGUGCCUAACACAUGCAAGUCGAACGGGGAUCAUGUAGCGGAAGUUUUCGGAUGGAAGGUAUAUGAUUCUAGUGGCGCACGGGUGAGUAACGCGUGAACAACCUGCCCUGUAGUGGGGGAUAACACCUGGAAACAGAUGCUAAUACCGCGUGAGACCACAGCCCGGCAUCGGGGAGAGGUCAAAGAGUAAUCGCUAUAGGAGGGGUUCGCGUCCCAUUAGGUAGUUGGUGAGAUAACAGCCCACCAAGCCGACGAUGGGUAGCCGAGCUGAGAGGCUGAUCGGCCACACUGGAACUGAGACACGGUCCAGACUCCUACGGGAGGCAGCAGUGGGGAAUAUUGGGCAAUGGGCGCAAGCCUGACCCAGCAACGCCGCGUGAGGGAAGAAGGUUUUCGGAUUGUAAACCUCUGUCGCAAGGGACGAAGAAGUGACGGUACCUUGUGAGGAAGCCCCGGCUAACUACGUGCCAGCAGCCGCGGUAAUACGUAGGGGGCGAGCGUUGUCCGGAAUUACUGGGCGUAAAGGGUGCGUAGGCGGCUUUUUAAGUUGGAUGUGAAAUACCCGGGCUUAACUU